AUUGAACGCUGGCGGCAUGCCUUACACGUGCAAGUCGAACGGUAACAGGUCUUCGGAUGCUGACGAGUGGCGAACGGGUGAGUAAUACAUCGGAACGUGCCCGAUCGUGGGGGAUAACGAAGCGAAAGCUUUGCUAAUACCGCAUACGAUCUACGGAUGAAAGCAGGGGACCGCAAGGCCUUGCGCGAACGGAGCGGCCGAUGGCAGAUUAGGUAGUUGGUGGGAUAAAAGCUUACCAAGCCGACGAUCUGUAGCUGGUCUGAGAGGACGACCAGCCACACUGGGACUGAGACACGGCCCAGACUCCUACGGGAGGCAGCAGUGGGGAAUUUUGGACAAUGGGCGAAAGCCUGAUCCAGCCAUGCCGCGUGCAGGAUGAAGGCCUUCGGGUUGUAAACUGCUUUUGUACGGAACGAAAAGACUCUGGUUAAUACCUGGGGUCCAUGACGGUACCGUAAGAAUAAGCACCGGCUAACUACGUGCCAGCAGCCGCCGCAG
rnacentral:rRNA from 1 species